GCCAGGACGCCGGAGCAGCUGGACCUGCUGGACGCGCUGCUGGACGGCACGACGACGAUCGAGGGCCUGGCCG
rnacentral:tRNA from 1 species